AGCGAACGCUGGCGGCAGGCUUAACACAUGCAAGUCGAGCGGGCACCUUCGGGCGUCAGCGGCGGACGGGUGAGUAACGCGUGGGAACGUGCCUUCUGGUUCGGAAUAACCCUGGGAAACUAGGGCUAAUACCGGAUACGCCCUUUUGGGGAAAGGUUUACUGCCGGAAGAUCGGCCCGCGUCUGAUUAGCUAGUUGGUGGGGUAACGGCCUACCAAGGCGACGAUCAGUAGCUGGUCUGAGAGGAUGAUCAGCCACACUGGGACUGAGACACGGCCCAGACUCCUACGGGAGGCAGCAGUGGGGAAUAUUGGACAAUGGGCGCAAGCCUGAUCCAGCCAUGCCGCGUGAGUGAUGAGGCCUUAGGGUUGUAAGGCUCUUUUAUCCGGGACGAUAAUGACGGUACCGGAGGAAUAAGCCCCGGCUAACUUCGUGCCAGCAGCCGCCGUAA
rnacentral:rRNA from 1 species